rnacentral:rRNA from 1 species
AUUGAACGCUGGCGGAAGGCCUAACACAUGCAAGUCGAACGAGUGGCGGACGGGUGAGUAAUGUCUGGGAACGUGCCCGAUGGCGGGGGAUAACUACUGGAAACGGUAGCUACUACCGCAUACCAGAGGAUGGGCCGAGAUGGGAUUAGAUAGUAGGAGGGGUAAAGGCUCACCUAGGCGACGAUCACUAGCUGGUCUGAGAGGAUGCCCAGCCACACUGGAACUGAGACACGGUCCAGACUCCGACGGGAGGCAGCAGUGGGGAAUAUUGCACAAUGGGCGCAAGCCUGAUGCAGCCAUGCCGCGUGUAUGAAGAAGGCCUUCGGGUUGUAAAGUACUUUAAGCGGGGAGGCGUUACCCGCAGAAGAAGCACCGGCUAACUCCGUGCCAGCAGCCGCGGUAAUAC